rnacentral:rRNA from 1 species
UACGAAGGGGGCUAGCGUUGCUCGGAAUCACUGGGCGUAAAGCGCACGUAGGCGGAUUGUUAAGUCAGGGGUGAAAUCCUGGAGCUCAACUCCAGAACUGCCUUUGAUACUGGCGAUCUCGAGUCCGGAAGAGGUGAGUGGAAUUCCGAGUGUAGAGGUGAAAUUCGUAGAUAUUCGGAGGAACACCAGUGGCGAAGGCGGCUCACUGGUCCGGUACUGACGCUGAGGUGUGAAAGCGUGGGGAGCAAACAGGG